AUUUUUGUAGUGUAAUGGUAAUCAUGUCCGCCUAACACGCGGAAGGUUGCAGGUUCGAGUCCUGCUAGUAACA